GCCCUCGUAGCUCAGCUGGAUAGAGCGUCGGACUUCUAAUCCGGUGGUCGCAGGUUCGAGUCCUGCCGGGGGCG
rnacentral:tRNA from 1 species